AUUGAACGCUGGCGGCAUGCCUUACACAUGCAAGUCGAACGGUAACGCGGGGCAACCUGGCGACGAGUGGCGAACGGGUGAGUAAUGUAUCGGAACGUGCCCAGUUGUGGGGGAUAACUGCUCGAAAGAGCAGCUAAUACCGCAUACGACCUGAGGGUGAAAGCGGGGGAUCGCAAGACCUCGCGCAAUUGGAGCGGCCGAUAUCAGAUUAGGUAGUUGGUGAGGUAAAGGCUCACCAAGCCGACGAUCUGUAGCUGGUCUGAGAGGACGACCAGCCACACUGGGACUGAGACACGGCCCAGACUCCUACGGGAGGCAGCAGUGGGGAAUUUUGGACAAUGGACGCAAGUCUGAUCCAGCCAUGCCGCGUGCAGGAAGAAGGCCUUCGGGUUGUAAACCGCUUUUGUCAGGGAAGAAACGCUCUGGGUUAAUACCCCGGGGUAAUGACGGUACCUGAAGAAUAAGCACCGGCUAACUACGUGCCAGCAGCCGCAGUAAUAC
rnacentral:rRNA from 1 species